rnacentral:lncRNA from 1 species
AGUAAUAUAUUGACUUCAUUUAAAUAGAUUUAUUAUGUGAGGACACUGGAGGAGUAUAAAUUGAACAGAGAAGGAGGCUGGACAUCCCCCACACCUUACCUAACAUUAUUGCUAUUUCAUUUGUAUGAUUUCUUCCAUUAGACCUGAUAGCAUAUUUAGAAAUACUUUCAAAAAUCUACAUAUAUAUGUAGCAGAAACUGCAACAACUGGUUAACAAUAUAACUACUGCCUUAAAUCUGAUUUGUACUGUGUAGAAUGUAGAGUAAGAACAUAAUAAUUACAUGGGAAAGGAAAUAAGGAAACAAACUAUGCAGAAAUUAAACCUGAUUGUAGGCUGGAGAAAUAACAUCUUCUAUAAUCGAGAAAAAGAAUCAAAAUACAGUAUUGAACUGCUGAUGCUUAAUGAUAUAUCUACGGGAAAUAUAUAUGGCAGUGAAGAAUUUUCUAUGAGAAAAUCAGUUCAUGAAGAGUAUCUGGGAGGCCUGUUACAUACGCUCCCUUUCUCUGGAAGGCAGCGAACAAACAAAUAACAAGUUAGACUUUCAAAGAAAAAAACAAAUACUCGUAAAGUAUUUCUAUGAACCUGAUAAAUAUGUACCGGGGGAGCACGAGGCCAAUGGAUUCAUGGAUGGAUUCAGGUCUAGUAAGUUACCUGCACGCCCUGCGCGUUAAUGGCGGGGGGCUCGUUGAUGAGGAACCAAAACCUAGAGGCGUCGAGAUUGGUACCGGAGCAGAUGACGCCGCUCGCCUUGAACUCAACCCUAAAAAUAUCAAGGCGAGGACGUCGACGGGGUUAGACACCACGAGCAGCAACGCCUGCGGGAAUCUGCAACAGAUUAAGCCCCAGAUUUGCCCUGCGCCCGACCUGACAACGACGAGGUGAGGAGAUAGCACCUGGGCGACGGAGAGAUUUUGAGCGUGUGGGGCGGCAAGCCAGCAGGGUCGUGCGGCAGGCGAGGUCAUCUCCNNNNN